CCUUGAGUUUUCUCUUUCGUCGGUCGAAAAGGUUAGAAGCCAUCGAAAAAACUGCCAUCGGACUACCACAGCUGACAACGAGAGACGCGCGUGCACAACUGCAUAACACACACACACACACACACACACACACACACACACACACACACACACACACACGGAAAGAGCACAACAAUUAUGAAACUGAUAAUUUAUUAUAAAUAAAUAAAUGUAUUUUUCUCCUUA